rnacentral:lncRNA from 1 species
AGCUCAUUUAUAUUCCAGUCCACUUGACAUUUAUCCAGUGUCUUCAACCACUGAAAUCCAAGGAUAAUAUCCGCUGAACCCAAAUCCAAAGAGAUAAAUCUGUUUCAAACUCUAUUCAUGUCACUUUGAACUUCACUUUCUGACAUACACCAAAACCCUGAACUGUUACACUAGUAUCAACAUUAAUCUUCAAUCCUUUAUGUUGUUAAGUUUGUAUAUGUCCUCUUGCUAUCAAGGAAGGUGUGAUAAAGUUAUGUGUAGCUCUGCCAUCAAGCAUGGCUACCACUUGUACUUUUUCCACAAAUACAUUGAAAGAUAACCCCAUACAUUGAAUGAUGGAAGAUGGAAGACCAGCAAAUACAUUGAAACAUAACCCCAUACAUUCAGUCACCACUCCUUAUUCCUCUUCAAUCAUAUCAAUGAACUCAUCUUCAUUUAUUUGUACUUCACAUUCGUCUAUCAUUGUCA